rnacentral:rRNA from 1 species
UACGUAGGGUGCAAGCGUUGUCCGGAGUUAUUGGGCGUAAAGAGCUCGUAGGCGGUCUGUCGCGUCUGCUGUGAAAACCUAGGGCUUAACUCUGGGCGUGCAGUGGGUACGGGCAGGCUAGAGUGCGGUAGGGGAGACUGGAAUUCCUGGUGUAGCGGUGAAAUGCGCAGAUAUCAGGAGGAACACCGGUGGCGAAGGCGGGUCGCUGGGCCGUAACUGACGCUGAGGAGCGAAAGCAUGGGGAGCGAACGG